UACAGGGGGUGCAAGCGUUAAUCGGAAUUACUGGGCGUAAAGCGUGCGCAGGCGGUUUUGUAAGUCUGUCGUGAAAGCCCCGGGCUCAACCUGGGAAUUGCGAUGGAGACUGCAAGGCUUGAAUCUGGCAGAGGGGGGUAGAAUUCCACGUGUAGCAGUGAAAUGCGUAGAGAUGUGGAGGAACACCGAUGGCGAAGGCAGCCCCCUGGGUCAAGAUUGACGCUCAUGCACGAAAGCGUGGGGAGCAAACAGG
rnacentral:rRNA from 1 species